rnacentral:lncRNA from 1 species
UCAGAAAUGCACACUUUAUCAUUCAGUGAUUUACCAACACAACGUUGAGAACUGAAAAGGAGGCAGACAGAUAUGUUCUUUACCUUUUAUGACACCCGGGGCCAGUUUCCUGUUCAACUUAAUCUAAACUCAAGAAUAAUAUUUUAUCUGCUCCUUCCAAAUUUCAAAACUUUAACAACAACAGCAACAAAAUGGAUAGAGGAUGCUGCCUUUUGCAUGCCAUGUGAAGAAGCCAGAGACAGAAUGGAACGGAAAUCUGAGAACAGGAACAUUUACUUUUGGCUCAGGAAGAGACCACAAGAUGCACUGUUUGUUACUGAAGUGAUAGUACUUUUGCCCUGGGCACCUUACUUCAGAGGAAAGAUGCUUCCCAAAACAGUUUUCAGCCACUGAUCUUUCAGCUCCGUGAUUUGGAGUGGCAGAGUUGCACAUGAAGCAUGUAGGAUGAGGUGCCACGUGGCAACAGCUUUCUCUUCUGGCUGUGCUGAGGAGCUCUCAGCACACUGUACUCCCACCUGAGAUCACAAUGGUGGCUGAGAAAUCUUUGUUGCUCCCUUUUCUCCCAUCAGCAACACUCAUAUCCAGGCUGAAUAAAUCCUUCAACAGCAUUCUUUGCUUGUGGCCGUUUGAUGUGCUUCCAAGCAGCUACAAACAUGGGAGACACCCAAACUGCUUAGUGCCAGAAAGGCUGAAACUGCACUGCCAUGGGAGCCUGAACGGCAGAGGGGCCACCUGGCAGUGCCCUGCAGGACCCAAGGUGCUCACCCACCCACUACGCAAGAAGCUCCUCAUGUCCUUCCGCUCUGCGGUGGGCAGCACCUGGAGUGCCUUUCCUAGCUCUGAUUCUAUUCUUCUGCUCCAAAGCAACAAGCCAAACUCCCCACCAGCAUUCAACCUCCGUGCCAAAAAGAAAAUAACAAGAGUAAAAGCACUGCACAACAGAAACACAUAGGACAGUGAAGAGGCUGGGAUUGCUGGGGAGUCCAGCAUAGUCGCGUCGGGGUGCUCAGGUCGGUGCUGCUGCAGCAUUCAUCCAGGCCAAUGGGGAAGGUAGGUGGUUGGUGGCUGUGAGCACCUCCCCUGGAUGGAAAAUGACACCUCUGCACAGCUCUGGACAUUUCUGAAUGCCACAGGAGGUUGGGGAGACCAGCCCAGCUGGAAAGAGGGUAGACAUGCUCCAGCAUCAAUGCCAUCAGCUCUGACAAGGUCCUGGCUGGCUGCAGCACGCUGAUGUCCUCAUAAACCAAGGCUCUCUCUCUGAUGGCUGUGCAAACGAGAAGCUGGGCUUAACUGGAGCACAGUGCUGUUGCUGGCUUUAACUCUCCAAUGAACUCUCCAAUUCCCAUUUUCCCAGGGCAGUUCAGCGCCAGGGUAAAUCAGUGCAUGUGUGCAGCCCUGCUGCCAGCUGGCUGCUCCUGCCUGCAGCGGUGUCUGGUCACAGCUCUGGGGAUGUGCCCUGCAAGUCCCCCCUUGGCAGCACCUCCUGCCUGCCACGCUCACUUCCUUCAGCCUUUGCCUUUCUCCCUGCUCUGGUCCUCUGACUUCAGAACAUGGCUUUCUGUUUUAGUUCACUUCUGUAUUUAUACUGGGCCAAACUGACUGGAUACUUUCUGAACAGGGUGACCUAGGAGUUUUGAACAGACCAUCUUGUCAAAAGUUCUGUUAUUUCCCUUACCAAUGUGGUUUGAUUUGUUUUAUUUUCUUUUUUCUUGGUAAAACUGUCAAUAGGAACCACUUUUUGAAAGUCAGAAGAUGCAAAGCAGACCUUCCACAAGGAUUCCCCAAGGAGCAGAGAAUUUGAGGAUCACUGCGAAGGGCAUCAUUGCUCCUUGCUGUUCAUCCCAAACUGUCUUCAUUCUCUCACCCUGUGUAUUCCUGCACAACGGGACUGAGGGAAGUGCAUGAGAUCUAUUGCUGAACUGUGGUGUGGAUAGACUUUGUCUUCCUCAGCUAGCAUUCUGUCACCUUUCAAGAGUGAAAAAUUCAUUUUUAAAACAAAAAUCCCAAGUAAGAAACCUCACAUAGUUGCAGGAAACCACCACAGAGGUAUACAAUAUCCAGCGGAAGACCUUGCUGAAAACUGAACAGAUUACUCUUGUUAUAUGUGGUUAAACUGGGCCAUUAAUGCUAAAACAGUUCAAAGCACAAAAUAAAUUCUGAUUUUCUCCUGUCAAAGUUGGUGGUUUGGUGUUCACACAUUCUAGGCUCCGGUUAAAUGAUUUACUGUACAAUUUAAUGCCUUUCAGCUGUCACUCGCAAAAAGGAUCCCUUGAAUGAUCUGCCAGUGAAUGAAGGCAGCACUUGCCCAGGGUGAAGUGUGGCCAGGGCUGCAGGACCCAACUUGCCAAGAUACUCAGGAACAAUCACGUAAGCCACUGUGACCCAUGUGUGGUACCCAGCGAAGUGAAGGCCACCUUGCUGUGAUCACAUCUGCAAAACCACUUCAUUUAAAGCAUACUGAGACGUUCACUCUGCUGUGGAACUUUUACGAGCAACUGCCUUUACAACAGCUCGCACCAUAGGCACGCUGCUAUUCUUUGUCCUUCUUUUGAACUCUUCUCUGCUCCCGGUCUUCCAGCGGUGUGAUUUUUUGAAGUUUUCCUUCACAAUAGCUUCUCAAAAUCCCAGUUCUCACAUAUCAACACAAAUAGGAGAAACAGUUGCCAUGGGACAGUGAAAAACAUAUUUCAGGAGCUCAGGAGCAAAGAAGGAAAUAAAAAAGGCACUGGAUUUCAGCAGUUACGUGUUGUAGUGUUUGACGUAGCUCUGAGUUCUUUGCUUUGUCUCUAGCUGCAGUGGUACUGUGCCUCUCAUGUUCAGCAGUGGGUGCACUCAGCAGUGGGUGCAGCUCUUAGCAGUGACCUCAUGGGGACACAGCAGUGCCCAGCACUGCAGCCAUGUUCUGUGGAACAGAGAGAAUACUGGUGUCACCUAAAACU